CGGGGUAUAGCUCAGUCUGGUAGAGCGCUACGUUCGGGACGUAGAGGUCGUAGGUUCGAAUCCUGCUACCCCGACCA
rnacentral:tRNA from 1 species